CUUAGAAGAUUUCUUCGGAAUGAUUUUAAGUGGAUUAGUGGCGAACGGGUGAGUAACACGUGAGUAACCUGCCUUACACAAGGGGAUAGCCUUUGGAAACGAAGAAUAAUACCCUAUAAAGUCAAUUUAUCGCAUGAUAGAGUGACCAAAGAUUUAUCGGUGUAAGAUGGACUUGCGUCUGAUUAGCUAGUUGGUGAGAUAAAAGCUCACCAAGGCGACGAUCAGUAGCCGGCUUGAGAGAGUGUACGGCCACAUUGGGACUGAGACACGGCCCAAACUCCUACGGGAGGCAGCAGUGGGGAAUUUUGCACAAUGGGGGAAACCCUGAUGCAGCGACGCCGCGUGAUUUAGAAGGCCUUCGGGUUGUAAAAAUCUUUUUUAUGGGAUGAAAAUGACAGUACCAUAAGAAUAAGGUCCGGCUAAAUACGUGCCAGCAGCCGCGGUAAUACGUAUGGACCGAGCGUUGUCCGGAAUCAUUGGGCGUAAAGGGUACGUAGGCGGCCUAGUAAGUUAGAAGUGAAAUAAUAUAGCUCAACUAUAUAAAGCUUUUAAAACUGCUAGGCUUGAGAGAUGGAAGGGAAAGUGGAAUUCCUAGUGUAGCGGUGAAAUGCGCAGAUAUUAGGAAGAAUACCGGUGGCGAAGGCGACUUUCUGGUCAUCAUCUGACGCUGAGGUACGAAAGCGUGGGUAGCAAACAGGAUUAGAUACCCUGGUAGUCCACGCUGUAAACGAUGAGUGUUAGGUUCUUGGAAUAAUCUGGGAGCCGCAGCUAACGCAUUAAACACUCCGCCUGGGGAGUACGCACGCAAGUGUGAAACUCAAAGGAAUUGACGGGGACCCGCACAAGCAGCGGAGCAUGUGGUUUAAUUCGACGCAACGCGAAGAACCUUACCAAGUCUUGACAUAUUUCGGAGGGAAUUAGAGAUAAUUCCUUACGACUUCGGUCGACUGAAAUACAGGUGGUGCAUGGUUGUCGUCAGCUCGUGUCGUGAGAUGUUGGGUUAAGUCCCAUAACGAGCGCAACCCCUAUCGUUAGUUACCAUCAUUAAGUUGGGGACUCUAGCGAUACUGCCGGUGAUAAA
rnacentral:rRNA from 1 species